GGGAGCAGCAGAAGGAGAGGGAGAAGCAGGCUCCCCGCUGGGUGGGGAGUCACAGGGCUCCACCCCAGGACUCUGGGAUCAUGACCUGAGCUGAAGGCAGACGCUUAACCGACUGAGCCACGCAGGCGCCCCCAAACUGCCUGAUUCUGCUCCACUUUUGCACAAGGGAGCCCGGAUCCAGGUGCAAGGUCAUUACUGGGCCGUUCUGCGCUCUUUGGGGUCCCUGGGGAGAAGGAGGCCAGGGUGGAAGGCAAAAGCCCUGGGCGACCCCCGUUUGGGUCUGCGUGGGCUCCCCGGGCGGCCGCGCCCCCCGCACGCCCCCCGCCCCCCUCGGCAGAGGCCUCACCUGGGCUGCGGGGGCACCGGAAGCCGGCCCGCGCCCGUGCGCGCCGCCGUGCCCGCUGCUGGCUGCCAGGGGGCGCUGCGACACAAGCGCCCGGCGCGGAGGGGCGGCGGCCACGUGACCCGGGAGCGGCGCGCGGGGUCCUGGGGUCCGCCGGGGGCCCCACCCGCUGCGGGCGCGCUCGCCGCCUCACCCCCCGCCCCCUCCACCGCCUUCUCCUUCCGCCCUGCGCCGGCCGCGCGGUGGGUCUGCGGCGGCGACAGCGACUCAAGUCCGGGCUCCCUGACCGGUCACCUCCCGGCCACCCUGCCGAGCAGCCGCGGCUUCAGAGCUGCCCAGAAGUGAAUCUCUGACCUGACGACGUUUCUUACCUGGAGUAGGGGCCUUGGGCACACUCCACACUUAGCCUGGCAGAAGCGGCCACGGAUUGCCCGGAUCACACGCUUGGAUCAGCCAGCCGGAAAUGCCUCGUACACCUCGACACAUCUUACAAUUUCACACGCACACAGAUGCUGACUUUGAUGUGUCUGUCAGCACAACCCUCAGCCCCAGCCGCCAGGAAUGCGUCAGAAACUUCGUUCACCACCAUUCUCACCAGGUAACAAAGGAGCAGGGCUUUCUCUGUGAAGUCGCUGGGAACUGAUGCUGCUGGCAUUUUCCUUGGAGCUUUACUGGCUCAACUCCAGAACCACCCCCUCCAAGUUGUCUUCCUGGAUUUACUCACCCAAAGCUAUCCUCUUUCCUGGGGCGCAGCAGCCUGGAGGUGGGAAUGGCCGUGCUGGAUGACCGCAUCGAUCCGGAUUUGGAAGUUGUGAGGCAGCUAAGGCAGGAGGAUGAGGUGAAGAACGGUGUUGCUGGUUUAUGGUGAGAGGGUACUUGAAGUGAGUUACCAACCCUGGCACAUAUCGGUCCUGGUAGGCCAUUCUUGAAGUCCUACUUAUAAAAGGAACUCAACUGCCAAGUAUUGGAGACUUGAGGUGGAGGAUGAAAUGAGGAGAGAUUCAGUCUCAGGUGGCCAGAUUGAUCCAGGAGCUGAGGGCAACAGGACAAUCCAGAAAAUGCAAACUGUAUAAUGGCAGUGGUCCUUGGGUAAGGCGCAGAAAGCAAGCCCACACCGGAAAGCUAGGAAGGCAGCUGAGGCCCGGCCGCCAACAGGCAAGAACUGCGUCUUCAGAGCCAGCACAGGCGGGAGCCUUGCGGGGUGAAGCAUGGACGUUUCCAGCUGGAGGCAGCCACCUCCCCUUCCAUUUUCGUUCACCUCGUCUUCCAUCUUCGCUUGCUCACGCUCUUCCCCCUGCCCCGGGCGACUGCGCGCUAAUUCACUCGUCCAGGCUUGGGGCCUACCUCUACCUGCCCCGGUAUAAGCAAUAGGAUGGCAGGGUGUCCAUCCCCCCAUACCCUGCUCAGGGGACCCACCCGGCCUCACCGCCCGAAGCAGGAGCUGGGAACCUGGACCGGUGCUCCGAGCGGGGGUGGGGGGUGGGGGGCCCUGUGGCAUUCAGUACUGAGGUGUGGGGACUCGGCCUGUGGCUACACGCGGCUUGCUGGUAGACCACAGGACAGGGGCAGAGUGAGGCCCCAGGCGUUGCGCACUGCUUUUGCCUCUAGCCCUGCCCACCCCUCCCCCGGGCACCAAGGGAAGCUGGUUGGUCCCCAGAGCGUGAGGGGGUAGAGAUGACACAGAAUAAUCCCAUCUUCGAGCCUGCAAAAGAACUGAAAGCCUGUGGCUUACUCAUAGAUCAGUCGUACCAGCUUUUUGUGGAAAGGACAGCACGAUCUUUAUUCACAAUCCCACUCUUACCAAAGUAUUUUUAGACUUCAGAAUAGGAGUGAGGAGCCUAGGCGUGUGAACACUGGUAAAUUGUUCCUAGCUGGAGGUAUGGAAGAAGGUGGGCAGGGCAUACUGUCCUGAGUCUAAUCCGCCCCCCGCCCCAGUGAAGCUUUGAAGAUGUGGUAAGAACAGUUGGUUGCUUGAGAACAAUAGUGAAACCCCCUUUCUUUUACAUAGAUUAGAACACUCUUAAUGCUUAUGAUGACUGCGAGGGAUGUUAUGAAGAGAGGAAAAUAUUCACUGUCUCCUCCGAAGUUAGCAGGGUUGGGGAGUCAGUCUCCAUUUGACCAGACAAAGAGGUGGUUUGGGUUUUCCCACUUCUGCACCAUUGACUCGGUCUCAAGGAAACCCGGGCUCACCGUUGCCCAGCCGAGUGCGGACAUCAACAGCAAGAGGUCAAGCACAUUUUCCCUUUGACUCCUACUUUCUUCUAUUUACCAUACUUUGUGAUUGUCCCGGUUCUUUGGAGUUUUUCCUUGUUUUUUUCCCCCAAAGGUUUUAUUUAUUUAUUUGAGAGAGAGAGCAUUAGAGAGCGAGAGCAAGCACGAAUGGGGGGCAGAGGGAGAGGGAGAAACAGGAUCCCUGUGGGACUCGAUCCCAGGACCCUGGAAUCAUGACCUGAGCCAAAGGCAGACCCUUAACCGCUUAACCGAGGGAGCCACCCAGGCGCCCUGGAGUUUUUCCUUUUAUCAGGAGCUUGAAAAAAAUGUGGCCAGCUUCCACCCAUUUGUAUUAGUGUAAGAGAGUAUUGCAACCGCCACAAGAAAAGCAUAGAUAAACCAGAGGUCAAAGAAUAACAGAGUGUUCCAACUGGAGGAGCCAUAGAAGCAACUUACCCCAGCCCCUUCAUGCUUACAUAGGGGGAAACAGACACCCACAGAGAGAAGGUAGCCGAUCUCAUGGUUCCCACUCUUGUCCUCUUUCUAGAAUAUAUGACUUCAUCAUUACAUAUUUUCUUUCCUGAUUUUGAUUUGGAAAGGUUAUUAGUUGGCAUUUCUGGGGCCUAUAGCCAAUUGGGUGUUAAGGGGUUGGGUCCAGAGCCAUACACUGUAGAAAAAGCUAGACCCAUAUUGAACAUUCACCCUGAAUGAUCAGAUCUGGAAUCGGCAACUCGCUCGCACUGUUAAGGGUUGGCAUUGCCCUAUGUUCUGUCCUUGGUCCUCUUUUUUUGUAUUAAGAGCAGGUCUAUGGUCGGGGUUGGUCUCUAUGGCAAAAUAAGGCAAAUUCUGAGUCGAAAAGCUGUAACUGCAGUUCUUAGGAUUUUCUGCUGAUCUCUGAGGACAGACAGCAUGUCCUCUCUCCUGUUCAACACCAACCUUUUCACCCGCCCAUCUCUUGACAAUUCUUCUUCUUCUUCUUUUUUUUUUUUUUUAAUUUAUUUGACACAGAGAGAGAGACAGCAAGAGAGGGAACACAAGCCGGGGGAGUAGGAGAGGGAGAAGCAGGCUUCCCGCUGAGCAGGGAGCCCGAUGCGGGGCUCGAUCCUAGGACCCUGAGAUCAUGACCUGAGCCGAAGGCAAAUGCUUAACCAACUGAGCCACCCAGGCGCCCCGACAAUUCUUUACUCUUCCUUUAUACUCUGCUACAUUCGAACCCAUCACAAAACCUCAGUUUUGUUUUAAUAAAAACAAAAAUCUUUUUACCCAAUGUCCCCCUUAUCCGCCAAGCCUCCUGAAAGAAUAGUCUAUACAUGACGUCCCACUUCCUUUCUUUUCGUUCACCCCCAUGCCAAACCUUUUAGUCUGUGUUGUAAGUAAUCUUGCUCCACAGCAUUCAGCAUCCUUCAACCACUGACCCGCUGGAAACUCUCUUCAUGGCUUUUCUUCUCCUGUUCUCCCACUCCUGUAUUCCUCAAGGAUCUUAUUUGAUAGUAGUUAUAUUUUGGGUUAAUGCCUGGCUUAAGUCUCCUUUAUGGCAAUACUUCCCCAGCCAUAGUGUCUCAGGAAGGGAUGGUGAAGCCUCGGGCCUGGCCACUGGGGCUGGGGAUGGAUAUUUAGGCAGAGGGGGAUGCCUAGGAGUAUAGCGAGAUGGAGGGAGGUGACCGUUAGGGAGGAGGGCUGAGAAGUUGCAUAGAUUCAGAGGCUGAAGCUAUGAUUCUGGCCGCGUGAGAGUGGGCGAGGGACCUGAAGACACUACUGGGCAGGGAAGGGAGUGGGGAAAUCAAGUCGAUGCUCCCAGAGAAGCAAGGAAGAGAUCACGAGCCAGAGGAGAGGCGUGGAGUAGCAGAGGAGGGAGAGAGGGAAAUCUUUGUGGGAGGGAUCAGUGGGGCGAGGGGAGUGAUGAGAGGGAGCCCAGGAGAAGGCACCCAGACAACUUUCUAGAUCCUGGGAGCUGCUGUUGUGCUUACUGCAGUAAAUGUCUGUCUGAUUCUCCCGGAUCUUUGUAAUAACCCUUUUUAGUACCUUGCUUUAGUGGAUAAUAUUGUUUCUUGCAAACUUUACCCUAAGAUACUUCUUCUCCCACCAACUUCUCCAACUCUCCCUGAGUGAUCUCAUCUGCUUUUUCUUUUUUUCAGUUUAUUUAUUUUAGUAAUCUCUACAACCAAUGUGGGGCUCGAACUCACGACCCUGAGAUCAAGAGUCGCAUGCUCCUCCGACUGAGCCAGCCAGGUGCCCCUCAUCCACUUCUUUCUACAGUUCAAAAUGUUUUUACUUCUAUAAUAUAAAACAUGCAUAUAGCUAAAAAAGAAAUUUAAGAGUCCCAAAGGCUUAUAAUGAGAAGCAAAACUCCCUAUGCCUACCCCUUUCCUUCUUCCCAGAAACAAUAACUCCUUGAAGUGUUCCUUGUGGUGUUUACCUCAGUCAUUCAAAAGAAUAUGACUAUUGGGGCGCCUGGGUGGCUCAAUCGGUUAAGCGUCUACCUUGGGCUCAGGUCACGAUCCCGGGGUCCUGGGAUCGAGCCCCACAUCGGGCUCUCUGCUCAGCGGGGAGACUGCUUCUCCCUCUCUCUCUCUCAAGUAAAUAAGUAAAAUCUUUUUUUUAAAAAGGGAACAUGAUUAUUAUCUUGCUAUGUCUUUUUUUUCCCCAUUAUUGUGGUAAAAAAUACUUAGCACAAAAUUGACCAUUUUAACCAUUGGUGAGUGUAGUAUUCAGUGGCGCUAAGGACAUUCACACUGUCGUGCAACCAUCGUCACCAUCCAUCUCCAGAAUUUUUUCAUCAUUGCAAACUGAAAUUCUGUACCUGUUAAGUAACCUCCCAUUCUCUUCCCUGCAGGUCCCUGGCAAUGGCUAUUUUAGUUGCUGCCACUGGGAAUUUGACUGUUCUAGGAAAGUCAUAUAAAUGCCAUCCUACAGUAUUUAUCCUUUGGGGUGUGGCUUAUUUCACUUAGCAUAAUGUCUUCAAGGAUCAUCCGUGUUGUGACAUAUGUAAGACUUUUGUUCCUUUUUAAGGCUGAAUAAUAUUCUAUUUUAUACACACACACUCGUGCACGCACACGUACACACACUGUAUUUUGUUCUUCUAUUCGUUCAGUGAUGGACAUUUGAGUUUUUCCCACCUUUUGGCCAUUAGGAACGUGCUCCUUUGAACACAAGUGUAUAAAUACCUGCUCGAGUCCCUGCUUUCACCUCUUUUGCGUAUAUACCCAGAAAUGGAAUUGCUGGAUCAUUUGGCAAUUCUACAGUUUGCUUUUUUGAGGAAACACAAUGCUGUUUUCCACCUUCUGUUUUCUUGACCAACACUUUUUAACCAUCAUCUACUGGCUUUGUAUUACGGUAAGUGAGGGAUCAUCCAGUCUUAAAGUAUUCUCUAGUCCCUGUGUGCUGAUGGCUUCCCAUGCGUAUUUCAAACUCAGACUUUCCCCUGAGCUUCAGCCUUUAAUAUCCAAAUGCUUGCUGGACGUCUCCAUGUAGAUGUUAAACUCAGUGUAUCCCAAAAUGCUUGUCCCUGCCCCACCCCCAAACUUUCUCUUCCUCUGGCUUUUCUACUGUCCCCUACCUCAGUGAGUGUCACCAAUGCCUACCCAGUCACUCCAACAAGAAAUCUAGAAGUUGUCACAGACUGCUCCCGGACCUUACCACCCAAUGGAUCACCAAGACUUUCUGAUUUUACCUCUUAAGUAGCUCUUGACUCCAUUUUCUUUUCACUGACUGGCACUGCUCUCAUUCAGACCUUCUCGUUUGUCAUCUCUUGACUGAGCCACUUGCAGUAGCCUCCGUAUUCGCCCUCCUGCAAAUCGAGCUAAGCUUGUUUAGCCUCUGACAUCGUCACUGAUUUCUCAGUGACUAUCAGUAGCUUCCACUGACUAGAGAUAGCUGUGGGUUGUCAUCCUCACCCCACCCCGCACAAUCUCCCUACCAGGUGGUCCGUUCUAGUGAAAACAGGGCUUCGACCCAGUUCUGCCAAGCACACACUUAGUAGUGGUUAGACUCAGUCCCACAACCUGUCCUCAUAAGACCAUGAAGCCCCAUGCAGGAAAGGUUCACUGAAGCACAUUCCGCAGUUCUCCAGUAGUUGCACUUUAGCUAAACUUGUGGUUAGAUCGGGCGAUGGAAUCUUCCAUUAGGUGUCAGGACGCAGGACCUAUGGCUUCCCAGACUUAGAAUGCCACUCUGGGCUCAUCAGUUUCUUUGGCCCCAUUCACGCAAGGGCAGACGACAGUAUGGAUCCAUAAAUCUAGAAUACCAUUUAUUUCACCAGUGAAAGUUUAUUUCCAACAUCCCUUAUAUUAAUGAGCAAACCCUCUCGUGCAGAUUUAGGUAGAUUGACUGAAGCUUUCCAGCGCUGCCUCUAGAGUGUGUAUUCAUAAUUAGUCUUUCAGAUGCAAACUAAGCGCCGCUGGCGUGUGCUCCUCAUUAGGGUACUUAGAUACUAACUGUCCCUAGGACAUAUGUAUAUGUACAUGUACAUGCAUAGGUGUGUGUGUAUUGCACACUGUGCUGAGUACUUUUUUUUUUUUAGAGAGAGUGCGUGCGCACGAACAGCGGGGGAGGGGCAGAGGGAGGAAAGAGAGAGAACCUUAAGCAGGCUCCACGCCCAGUGUGGAGCCCCAUACGGGGCUCGAUCUUAUGAGCCUGAGAUCAUGACUUGAGCCGAAAUCAAGAGUUGGAUGCUCAACUGGCUGGGCCACCCAGGCACCCCCGUGCUGAAUAUAUUUUUUUAAUGAUUUAUUUAUUUAUUUUAGAGAGAGAAAGAGCACGAGCGGGAGGGGCAGAGGGAGAGGGAGAGAAUCUCAAGCAGACUGCGCUGAGUGUGGAGCCCGACAUGGGGCUCAAUCUCAUGACCCUGAGAUCAUGACCUGAGCCGAAACCAAGAGUCAGAGGCUUAACUGACUGUGCCACCCAGGUGCCCCUGUGCUGAGUAUUUUUCAAGUAAGUUUUAGACCAUAUAACAAAUCUAUCCUCCUAUGUACAUCUAUUCAUAUUGUGCCCCUGCAUAAAACCCUUUAUCUCCAUGGUUCCCCGGUCCAUGUGAAAUAAAGUCCAGACUCCUUCAGGUGACAUACAAGACCUUUCCAGAACCUCCCCCCACCUCUCUCCUUUUUGCACUUUAUGCUCCAGUCCAGAAUUACCAAGCUGCGUGUAAGUUAACCUCCACCCACGAUGCUGGUUUGGCCUCAUGCUCUCCCCCUGCCUGGCCCACUUUUGCCACUUUCCUUCACCUGGCUGACUCUUACUCAUCCUUUGUGACUCAAACCAGGCAUCAGCUCUUUCAAGAAGCCUUUCCUGUAAUCCCAUUCGGAGUUAAGCUUAUUUAUCUUGACACAUGUAUAGCGUUUAUUAUGUGCCAGGAACUAUUCUAAGCACUUUUAAUCCUCAUUAUGGCUCUGUGAGUUAGAUUCUAUUAUUAUUCCUCUUUUCAGAUGAGGAGACUGAGGCACAUAGAGGUUUAACUUGUCAAAGUUCACCCAACCGGUAAGGGGCAAAGCCAGACCACAAACCCACACUGUCAGACUCCAGUCUGUUCUCUUAGAAAUCCAUACGCCGUGGGGCGCCUGGGUGGCUCAGUUGGUUAAGCGACUGCCUUCGGCUCAGGUCAUGAUCCUGGAGUCCCGGGAUCGAGUCCUGCAUCGGGCUCCCUGCUCGGCAGGGAGUCUGCUUCUCCCUCUGACCCUCCUCCCUCUCAUGCUCUCUGUCUCUCAUUCUCUCUCUCUCAAAUAAAUAAAUAAAAUCUUUAAAAAAAAAAAAAAAGAAAGAAAGAAAUCCAUACGCCGUGCUGCUUCCCGAGGGCCCUUUCUCUAUAUUCCUACAGCACCUUAAGCAUACCUCUGUCUUAGCAUUGAGCAUAAUGGUUUGAAACGGUCUCUUUGUGUACGUGCCUACGGCUUCACCAUGAGGGCCGUAAAGCUUAAUGGUCUCUGAGGCCGUGUGGGAUCGUGGUUAGAUCAUGCAGUCUGGGAUUAGAUAUACCUGGCACUAAGUCCCACCUCUGCUGUGUACUACCUGUGUGACCUUACACAAAUUAUGUAACCUUUCUAUACGCCCUUUUCUGCAUUGGUAAAGUGGGGCUAAGAAUACCCCACAGGGUGAUGGAAAGAAUGAAACGAGAUGAUAUAUCUAGAGCACCCAGCAGAGGGUCUCUCAUAGUAAACAAAACAAAACAAAACAAAACCCUCUUGGUAAUGCUUGACUAUUACAACUAGUUGUUAUUUUUAUCUCUGCGUCUCUAGCAACUAGCAACUGGGAAGGAAAUAGACACUGGAGGACUGUUUGUUGAACUGAACGAAUAUGGAAAUCUUUAGACUGACCUCAAUAUCUAAAGGACAUUUUAGUAGACAUGACUUCAGAAAUGGUCCCCUGUCGCUAAGCAGGAGGUGCCACCUCACUUUGCCAGGACACCCAGAAGAGUUUUACCUCCUAAGGGUAGCUAGCCCUGUAACUCUUCAGUCAAUAUAACUAACAAGCAUAUGGUGCUGGUCCUUGCCACCAUUCGUUUUAGUGUAGCUAAAGCUCACACGGGAGAGCUCAUCACUUCCAAGUGGGUCUUGUCAUCCUAAACCAUUUCCUCAUCCUUCAAAAUGAAAGAGAACCCCAUUUUGUGUCCUUUUCUUAGAACAAGGGCUUCAGAACUCCCCAGGGCACUUUAUUCUCUUGGGUUGCUGGCCUUUUCAGUUCUGGAAUUCCCAUGCACAUUUCCAUCCCAGCAUGCCAGGGCUUUGAUCCCUUCUGCUGUAAAUUUCACUUGUCGACUGGAUGAAAAAUACAGUUAUGGGACAUGCCCAGGUCAGCUUUGGAUAGUGUGGUUGUGAUCGAAAGUGUCCCAGGUAUCAAUGAAAUGCCCAUCUUCUUGCACCCAAGAGCAGCUGAAGAUGCUGCUUGAAAAGCUGGAAUAGACAUAUAUGUCACAUUCAGAGAAUAACACAACCCCCAGGAAACACUAGGGUUAGGGUUAAGAAGCUCCUCAGGCAGAAUUUCUUGGUUUACUUGGGGCUAAGGAGAAACCACAUUUGGAUUAAUCUGGCCGAUCUUUCCAUAAUAUCUGAACCUACUUCCCUUUAUAAAGGAAGACAGCCUCGAGACCACUGAUUCUCUCUUCCACAAGGAUCUUGCAGAGCAUCUGAGCCGACCUGGUUACCAUCAGUGAUUACUUCAGAAUUUUAGAUGGAGAGACAAACUUAAGAAGUUGAACUGAAUUUGUAUUAAUCCUGGUCAUAGCCUAGAAUAAUCUGGCAGUUUGAUUAAACCUCUGAUAGUUUGGUAUGUUUUCAUUUUUCUCUUUUUUGCCCUAAAAUCUGGUGCAUAGAACUACUACUAUUACUACUAUUACAACACACACACACACACACACACACACACCCAACUAGUUGAGGGUUCAGGAUUCUCAGGUGCUAAAGGAUUUUAAUGCAAGGGGAUAAUUACUGUAGUGUGGGUUUGGUCAGGAGGGGCUGCCUGGAGAUGGUGUCCAGCCAGGAUGGAUAGACUUCAGAUGGUAAGGGCUUCCAGAGUUGAGGAAGAGGGUUGGACAUGAGUCAGAGCACACAGUGCAUCUAAGAAACUAGAGGUGAGGCUUGUGGUCUUAGGCUCAGCGCAAAGCCUGGGAUUCCUCUCCCUUUUUCUGUCCAGAUGGUUAGAAACAUGGAGGGUCCAGAAACACAGAGGUUGGAAAUAUUCACCUCUCGGAAAGUGCACUGGGCCAGGAGUGAGGAGAUAGGAUUACUGAUCCUAGUUCUACCACUGAUUUGUCCCAUAAUGGUGGGCAGGUCAUGUAAACCUCUCUCAGACCAUUUCUUUGUCAAGUAAGAUAGAGAUAGAUAUAUGAUCAGACUACUACUAGUGGGAGGCUUAGGUGAAAGCUUGUAAGUAUCCAUCAGAUGUCAGUUACUAAGAGACUAUUAAUAAAUAAAAUGUAGAUACCGUGGGAAGAGAGACCAUCUUGUCAGUUUGCAUCUUAUUGGAUAUUAAAUACCAGCCACUCAGGGAUGCCAAGAAAUGGGUGUCAGUUACUGAGAAGAGAAAGGAGUGUUUUUAACAAAUGAAGAGAUCAAAGUUCAGAGAGUUUAAACCACUCCCCAGUUGUUGAGCAGGGACUGGGCCAAGGCCAAUGUGAACUGUGUCACUGCUUUGCUCCAAGAACGUGUAUCUCUGUGUCUUCGGAAGGCCCUUUAAGAGUGAUGCUGUUGGUGAGAAUUGUAGGGAUAGUGGAAAGCUACCAAGGGCAAUAUUUUGGAGGUUGGCAGCUGAUCUCAGAUACAAGUAGUUUAAUCUUUUGUGUGCCUUAAUCCAUGCUGAUCUCUGGGUGAAUUGCUAGCCCCUUCACCUACCAGUAGGUACUACCUAUAAUCUUUUUUUUUUUUUUUACUUCUACUGACACACAAUCUAAUAAAAAUAAAUUUUUUUUUACUUCUACUGACACACAAUCUAAUAAAAAUAAAUUUAUUUUGUACUGUUUUGUACAAGUUUAUAAAUUUUGAUUCCAAUAUCUGUGAGCUCUAUGUCGUUCCUUUCGAGCCUAACUUGCUAGAGGGAACUGAGAGUUGCUCACAUCAAAACGGGAGGUUAACGUCCCUUUAAAGUAGGAAAUAUUGCUGUAGGGAAGUGUCAGGAGAGAGAAAGCCAGUGAAAGGAAAGUGAGCAUGGCAGAAAUCCACAUUCUGGCGGGAUCACUGAGGAGAGGGGGGAACUGAGGAUUUCAGGCUUAUCUAAGAGGCCAUGUCAGCGGGUGCAGAGAGAGAGAGAUCGAGAGAGAGAAUGGAACGCCCGCCAGAGCCUGGUAACUGUGUCAGAACCCUGCUGGUACCUGUAUUUGGUCCUCAGAGCCCCUCCAGCCCUCUUCCUAGUCCCUUUGUCAGCCACCACCCGUCUCAGCUACUUGGCUAAGAGGGAGAGAAAGAUAAAGAACCAUUCAAAUUGCCCUUCAAGACAUCGUCACUUCUCUUCCAAAACAUCUCUCCCCUUGGAUCCUGCCGUCACUCCACUAACACACGGAUACAGACAGCUCUUCCUUCCAUUCUCUUUGGCCUCUUUAGCCAACACUCAACAGGGUCAUCACGACAGGUUGCUGGUAACCUUUCUAAAAAUGUAUUUGAUCAGUGUCUUCACUGAUGGUAUUUCAAAGUGUAAAGGUAGACAUUGAAAACUUGAUAGUGAUCUGAAAAGGAAUUUAAGUAAAUCUUAUGACUUUGUUGUAGAGGUUCCAGGCUUCCUCUUAUAAUGGGAGGUUUUAUGUCUUUAUUUAUUUUAAAGAUUUAUUUUUUUAUUUGAGAGAGAGAGAGAGCACGAGCAGGGGGCGGGGGAAGGGAGAGGGAGAGGGAGAAGCAGACUCCCCCUGAGCAGGGAGCCCGAUGCAGGACUUGAUCCCAGGACCCCGGGAUCAUGACCUGAGCUGAAGGCAGACACUUAAACAACUGAGCCACUCAGCUGCCCCAGAUAGAACAUUGUUUUAUUUUUUAAGAUUUUAUUUAUUUAUUUGAGAGAGAGAGAGAGCAUGAGAGAGAGAAAGCAUGAGAGGGGGGAGGGUCCGAGGGGGAAGCAGGCUCCCUGCUCAGCGGGACUCGAUCCUGGGACUCCAGGAUCAUGACCUGAGCCGAAGGCAGAUGCUUAACCGACUGAGCCACCCAGGAACCCCAGAUGGAAGGUUAUAAGGCAACUGCUUUCUCGGGCACCUGUGUGGCUCAGUUGGUUAAGCGACCAACUCUUGAUUUCAGCUCAAGUCCGGUGUUGGGCUUCCCACUCAACAGGGAGUCCCCUUGCCCUCUCCCUCUGCCCUUCCCUCCUCCCUCCCCCGCUUGUGUGCUUGCUCUCUCUCUCUAAAAAAAUAAAAUAAAAAAUAAAAUAAAGCAACUAACCCAGAAAAAUUCUACUUCCUUCACCUCCUUGAAUCUAACCCCCAUAUCUGAGAGAAUUCGGGGUAUUAUUUGUGUUAACACUGGUGUCUGAGGGCCAGUCCCUUUUACACCUUGGUUGGAUGAAGUUGUUGGUGGAAGUUCACAUUUGUAUGUUAACAUGUGACUUUAAUCAGAGUCUGGAGAUGGCCCAUUGUUAAUAAUUUGGCGUAUGAAAAAACAAAAUGCUUUUAUUCUCAUGAGAAAGGCACUAGAAUUCAACCUCAUCCCCCACCCCAUGAAUGUGUAUUUUACAUAAAACCAGACAGAUUUUCUUAACAACAUUAAUAAUGUGCUAUUAUAACAUAAUUGCAAUAUUAUACCAAAAGCAUUAUCCAUGUUAAGUACUCUCCAAUUUAGAAUGAGUGAAUAAAUUCUCUAAAACUUUUAAGAGAAGAAUAUCCAUUUUCUUCAGCUAAAUAAUCCAUAAGUUCAAAAGGUAAAAGGAAUAGUUCUUCUUACACAAAAUGCGGCAUGUAUGUGGGAGUAGAAUUUUGAUAGGAAUUUGUGAGCUUGGGGCGCCUGGCUGGCUCCGUCGGUAGAGCAUGUGACUCUUGAUCUUGGGGUGGUAAGUUUGAGCCCCACAGUGGGUGUAGAGAGUACUUAAAAAUAAAAUCUUAAAAAAAAAGAAUUUGUGAGCUCCCUGCUAGUGCAUUUAAAAACCUCCUUGGCAAUCUCCUGGCAACUAAGGAUACUAUGCCCCCUUCCAAUGUGGGGCCAAGACAUAGUAUCUGCAGAAUUACAUACCCAUUAAGGUAACACUCGUUCUGUCAUUUUUGGUGUAUGGCACCCAAGGUCACCCUGGAUGCUGACAUCCAGCCAAUAGACAGGAAGAGAUAAAGAGUGGAGAAGGCAGGUGAGCUCCUGAGAUUGGCCGGAAUGUGGCACACGUCCCUUUCACCAACAUUCCACUGGUGAGGACUUGUGAGGUGAUCACUUCGUGAUCUAACCACGAUCCCACACGGCCUCAGAGACUAUUAAGCUUUAUGACCCUCAUGGUGAAGCCGUAGGCACGUACACAAAG